CGCCUAACAGGUGGUUCAAGGGUGUUCCUUCACACAUGCAACUCCCAUCAGGAAACAGCAGAAAAUUCAGAGGAAGGAGAAGGCAUUAGUAAAACCUACGGGGCUUUUCUACAGCCUGUCACAUCUCCCCCCACCCGGCAGAGACGUCCUCACGUUCUCCUCUGCAUCUGCAUUGCAUUAAACGGGAUGAAGAAACACAAACCGACUUUCACUCGAAUCUGAACUCUCCAUUUCGUGUCACCCUCAGGACAAUCACGUGAAACACAUAUGGUGAGCUCAGCCUGGGAACCGCAUUGGGACCUUUCCGGCCAGGAGCAGAGUUAAUCCUCACCGCUGCCCGCAUAUGGCUGCUGACUGAAGGCUGCAGGUUCCUCCCUGCCUGCAGCUGCCGCCACAACGGGCAGGACGGGCAGGGGCGGCCAACUGCACUGUGUCAGCAGAUAGACGUGCAUUUUUUCCACCGAGACAGAGCAGGCCAAAAGCCAAGGGAAGCGAGAGGAAGGAUGUGCUGGUCUCAAUACCCACCUUGCAGGCACAGGCAAGGUCUCCCUCCCAACCUCCUGCCACCCUCUGCUAAGCAAGCACAAAAAAAUUCAGAUUCUGUUCCUAUCUCCAGAGCUUCUGGAUUACUGUAACAAAACCCAUCAGUACGUCAUUUGGAAAACAUCCUGAAAUGUCAGAUGCAUCAAUUCAAGCCAAGCAGGGAUGUGACGGAUCAAUUUGAAUAUUUAAACAGCAGAAUUAGAAAAAAGAAAGAAAAAAAAAAAAAGGAUAGAGAUCUCCAGAUAUUAGAGCAUCCCCGCUCAGAGAAGACUACUGAAUAAAUGACACAUCCUGAUGUCUGGAUGGAACAUGAGCCUGAAAAUCUCCAUGCAUAAACCACCAUCUACAGGAUAGGGGCUGGAAGAAGAUUAUCUCCAUAUUCCACAAAAAUGAGCUUUAUAGUCUUUCUUUCUGUAAUACCCUAAGAAAUGAGACACUGGCAGACAGACAGAAUUGUGGUUGGAUCUGCUAUAAGAGUUCCUGUAUUUCUAUAACAAUCAAAUACGUUAUUUUAAAUGAGUUUGCUAUAUCCAUCUCAAUUUUUAUGACAUAUACAUAAAACAGAGCAGUGUUUUCUUCCCUGAAGAAAGAAGAGAAAGAAGUUGUCUUCACAGUUCAUGCAGCAAACUUCACAUGUAUUUUUUCCUGCUUUUACUUGCAGCCAGUCACUCCUCCUGAGUUCUCAUCCUGCUCCAUAUAUAUUAAAACAAAUUACUGAAAAAAUCCAGCUACAAUUCUUUUUGCAACCAGCAUUGCAGCCUGAUUUACCCAGGACAGCAAAGCAGCUUCCUUACUGGAACCAGAAUCAGACAACUUCAUCUACAGCUUCUUUAUGAGAGACAGGAAAACUGAAUCUCUGGUUUACAUGUCUAUAUUUGAACUAAUAAAUUAAAGACCAGAAAUAAUUCACAGAACUGUGAUUCCAAAAGUUUUGGGUGCCUGGGCCUCGAUGUUUUUCACGGUUCACUAGCAAACGCAUUCAAAAUUCACUAAUACUUUUUAACAUGAUAUCAAGGAACGGUGACAAACCUUAUCAUUGUCUGCUAGGACUACAGGUGCAAUUGCUGUUAGAUAUUAAAACAAGCCCAUAUCCGCAUUUCUCUUCUUUUUUUUUGGUUGCUCAGGUGUCUGUAGAGAGUGAGGCUCCAGCGAUAGGCAGCACCAAAUCUAAUUGCUGAUAUACACUAUUCACACCACAGUGUAGCGUUGCUGCCAGGAUCAGGCAUCAGAGCUGCUGGGAUGAGUGGUAAAACCUGGUUUGGGGAGGGUCAGAGCACCCUCUGAAUCUUGCAGCAUGAGACAUCUGUGCUACACUUAAGGUCAGACUGUUUAGUAGUCUUUUCUAGUCAAAAAAACCUCUAAGAAGCUGAGGGAAAAAGAGAGCAUGCAGGAUUUGCUUGCAUGUCACCAUCCACACUCGCUCUGCAGCUGAUUCAGCUCUUGAGCUAAUCAAAUAUUUUAACACAAGUAUUUUAGCACUGUAAAAAAUAUUAAUUAGAAGAGAAAAUAGUUAGAUUUUUAAACAGGACCAGUUGCCCAUGCGUGCAACAUGAGCGGAAGGUCAGUUUUCACCACAGAGAAAUGCUGGCCUCCUGCAGUACUGCCAGCCAGUUCCCAUCUACAGGCAGAGGAACUGUCACCUGCUUUAAUGUUGUUUUGCCUACUUCUCUGUAAUUUCUGCUGGGUUUUGUACUGUAGUCCACAGUGAAUGCAGUGGUUUGUUACUACAAAAGGAAACAAUCUGGUGGAUGGGACGGCAGCUGAAGAUCGUGUGUUAAGCACAAUUACAAAGAGAUCUUGAGUACUUUCUAUAAGUACUUUGUUUUUUAAUUACCUAAUUGCAUUACCUCCAGCACAACAGAUCAGUCUCGAAGUCUCUCAUCAGAUUCAAUAAACCUUCAGUCAGAUCUUCUGGCUGUGACCUGG